UAACAUGCCAGUUCGAACGCACACUUCAUUGCGAAAGANAGUGAGCUGGCGGCACGGGUGAANCCCNUCNAUGGGAUACCCUGCCCCAAGAUGAGGAAUACCACCGUAGUANAUCGGUGACAAUACCGCAUAACUUCGGUGACGAAGAAAGCUUCUUUUCGGAGAGGCGUCUUGGGAUGGGCCUGCGCCUGAUUAGCUAGUUGGUGGGGUAAGAGCUUACCAAGGCCACGAUCAGUAGCUGGUCUGAGAGGAUGAUCAGCCACACUGGGAUUGAGAACGGCCCAGACUCCUACGGGGGGCAGCAGUGAGGAAUUUUCGUCAAUGGGGGCAACCCUGAACGAGCAACGCCGCGUGCAGGAUGACACUUUUCGGAGCGUAAACUGCUUUUCUGGGGGAAGAGAACGGACGGUACCCCAGGAAGAAGCCCCGGCUAACUACGUGCCAGCAGCCGCGGUAAUACGUAGGGGGCAAGCGUUGUCCGGAGUUACUGGGCGUAAAGCGCCCGCAGGCGGUCUCCUCAGUUCAGACUGACAAUCCCCAGCUCAACUGGGGAGGGCGUUUGAAAACUAGGAGACUUGAGGGAUCAAGAGGGACAGGGAAUUCCNGGUGGAGUGGUGAAAUGCGUAGAUAUCCGGANGAACACCAAAGGCNAAGGCACUGUCCUGGUGAUUUCCUGAC
rnacentral:rRNA from 1 species